GCACAUUCUGCUUCAGUGGCCCAGGAUUCGCCAGCGCAGAUCCCAGACUGGCUGGGGUGAAUUUUCCCAGCUGAAUCUGAAUCCAUUCCAUUCCUGAAGACACAACCUCUGACAAGCAUUCCCAAGGUCCUCUGAAGGCUCAGGGAAUUUGGUUUUAUGAAUGACGGAGAAAAAACCUAAAAGCAUGGAGACUCCAAACACACUGCCAAAAGUUCAACCUUCCUAAGGACAGUAGUAGAAGCCAUGGUCUGUCCCACUCCCUUCCUCUUCCCAACCUCUGGUGGCAGAUUCUAAGAAGCAGAAACAAGGUCCUGUAUUUCUGAUUCAGGUUGGCAGAUGGAAUCCUGACUGUAGCCUUGAGUCUACGUGGUCUUCUAGUUGGCAGUUGUUAAAGGGCUACUGACAUGCAGCAAUAUGCACAAUAGCCAAGAUAUGGAAGCAAGCUAAGUGUCCAUCUAUAGAUGAAUGGAUAAAGAAGACGGAGGAAAGAGACCUGCCCUCAUCAAUGCAGAUGAGCAUCAUCUAAGCCACUGAGGACCCAAACAGAUCAAAGAGGCAAAGGAGCAGGAAAUUUCGUCUCUCUUUUUGAGCUGGGACAUCCAUCUUCUUCUGCCCUCGAGCACUGGAGCUCCUGGUUCUCAGCCCUUUGGCCUCAGACUGAAUUAU
rnacentral:lncRNA from 1 species